rnacentral:tRNA from 1 species
AAACUCUAAGUAUAAGUUUGUAUUUCUAAUUGCAAAUUAGAAGGUUUAUGGGUUUU